rnacentral:tRNA from 3 species
UACCGAGGUGGUGGAAUUGGUAGACACGCUACCUUGAGGUGGUAGUGCCCUAACGGGCUUGUGGGUUCGAGUCCCAUCCUCGGUACCAA